GCUGCUACCAUUCAUUUUUAAAUCUACACCUUAAUCUUAAUUAUCAUAAUUUAGGCAAAUAAGUAAUUGAAAUCCGGAAAUUCUAUUUCAAUAAAGUAUCGGGAACAAGAAGGCAUAAUUAGUAUAAAAUAAAUAUACAUAUGUUGAUUAUCAUUAAUUAUGAAUAAAUAUUGUAAUACAA